AGGUGAUUGGCCAGUGAGAAUGCGAGGGGGGAGUAAAAGAUAGAGUGGGAGGUUUUGAAAAGACAGUUGAGGUCUGGGGGUUGAAGGUUGAGAUUUGGGAGUUGGGAGUUGAGGUUUGUCAGUUGGGAGUUGAGGCUUGGGUGUUGGAGAAGGAAGAGGGUGGAAUACGCAGUGGGUUGGUUGAGUUGUGUUGUGAGAGAGUGAGAGGAAUUGUUAGGGAGUUAGAUAGAUAGUUGGGAAUAAUUCAGUUUGAAGUUGUAGGAACUAAGAUUUAAGAAACUGACAAGAGAAAAAUAAACCGAAACCAUACGCUUAUUCCUGCACUUAAAAAUAUACUUGAUUAUUUGUUUAUGUUAACAACUGUCUGGACUCCGUGUGUCCCCGUGAGAAGCGGGGUGGUGGCAGCAAAGAAAGCAACCGCAGUGGUGGCGCAGGGUCAAUAGACCGUGAAACGUCCAGGGGCCCUGUGUGAUCGCCACACCCACCCAUGUUUUCUUGUGGAAAUAGCAUGAAGAAGGGGUAAAAAAAAAACUUACUCUACUCUUCUGCUAUCAUUCAAAUCAGUAAGGGCUGUUAGCGUCUAGGAGAUCAGUGAAUAGAUCUCUGGUUUUGCCCUGGGUAUGUUGGUCUGGCUUGGCAAUUGUUCUAAAAUGCUUUUACUUUUAACAGCUUAGCUCUACGUACCCAACAGGGAAAGCUGAUGGGUAUAAAUAAAACACUACUGUUACUUCCUUCAAUUAGAGCUUUAAAAAAGAGAGACAGUGUCAUCUCUAAAAACGUAUUAAAAUAAUGUAUUCUGUCCACAUGAGGAGGUAUUAUUGCUAGGCAUUACACAUGCCUUAGACAAGCAAUACACCAGUGAGUUAAAGAUGAUAAUAAUGCUCUCCUAUAUAAGAAAUAAUGAGAUUUCUUAUAUUUGACUGGAGCACAUACUAAACUAGCCCAUGUCCCAGAAUACAGAGCAGACUAGAACUCAACACACAAGGCAAGGAGGGGGGAGAAGCAAGCAGAAGAAUAAAGAAAGAUGAUGGAGGGGAGAGAAUUAAUUUGGAUGCCAAAGGAGAGAAUGAUCCUAAAGGAAGUCAGAAAGCCGUUCCAAGUAAGAUGUGUCUGGAGAUUCCCGUGUAAGUCUGCAAUAUGUGCUUUUGUUGUAAUGAGCCUGUCAGUGACAAGCUGGCUCCCUCCAGAUAUUUUUAUUUGUUCUUCUUUCAUCAUCUUUUGCCUGAAAGCAUCCCUGCUCCCUUAUAUAGAGAGGCUCCAUUGUUGAUUCCCAUUAGGGUGCUUUAUCACUUCCACUCCACUUCCACUCCUAAGACGGAUUGAACAUGGGUUUUAAUAUACUUUCAUUAUGCUUAUGUGAAAAUGCCCUGGGUGUGCUAUAUAAAUAUUGUCAUCCCCAUUUUAUUUGGUAAAAUUUCAGGCUGAAAACACUAGUUAAAUAAUCCUGGGUGACUCAAAUGGGCCCAAACCACAUGAGUGCCUGCCACUUGUCACAAACAGCGAACCUUAAUUCAGGGUCCCGGCAUCAGCAACAUUGUCAGGGUAAGGGAGGCAGUGGAUUACCUUUGAAGCCUGACUCCAUGUGUCCGUACUUGGUUGUAAACACCACUGAGUUAAAAGUGAUGUGGGUGGCGCUGUGGUCUAAACCACUGAGUCUCUUGAGCUUGCCGAUCAGAAGGUUGGCGGUUUGAAUCCCUGUGACGGGGUGAGCUCCCGUUGCUCUGUCGCAGCUCCUGCAAACCUAGCAGUUCGAAAGCAUACCAGUGCAAGUAGAUAAAUAGGUACCACUGUGGUGGGAAGGUUCUUUUGUGGUUUAGUCAUACUGGCCACAUGACCACAUGACCCAGAAAGCUGUCUGUGGACAAAUGCCAGAUCCCUUGGCCUGAAAGUGAGAUGAGCACCGCAACCCCAUAGUUGCCUCUGACUGGACUUAACCAUCCAGGGGCUCUUUACCUUUACCUUACUCCCCCAAAUAAGUAUUCAGAAGUAUUCAUUAUUCCCCCAAGUAAGUAUUCAGAAGACUGCCACCUAAAUUCUCAUUCCCUUCCAUUCUCCUUACAGUUCCCCAAAAGAAGCAGCAUUCAUUCCAUGCCAAUGGCCAGCAGGACAGUGCAAGGCACUUAGAUAUUGUGGCUCCAUCUCUCUUUUCUCUUGUCACUGCUUCCAUGCUUGGACAGGGCAGGUGAGCAGGUAGUGACAGCAAAGAAGAGGAGCAGGGCCAGGAGACUCUGGAAGUCAGCAAUGGGAUCCAUGCAGGUCUGUGGGCAUCAGCAAACGCCCAAAAAUGUCAUAUUCUUAAUGCCAGACUGAGUAGAAAUCUUCUUUUUCUUUGGCGAUCACUCGUAGCUGAAUAAGAUUGUCUUCCAUAAACAGGGUAUUAACAAUGAGUCCGUAAGUGACUAUGGAGGCCAGUUCUGGACCUAAACGUCCUUCCACAGUGGGGACAUUGGUUUCCAGGCGGGAGUUGAUCAUGGUGUGGAUUUGCCAAGCGUGCCUUCCUCUUAGCACGUUUCUCCCUUGCGUUUUGAGUUCGAGUGUCUUCAAAGCCCAUGACACCUUUGGUAAAGGCUGUUCUCCAACUGGGGCGUUCGCAAGCCAGUGUUUCCCAGUUGUCUGUGUUUAUACUACAUUUUUUUAGAUUUGCCUUGAGACAGUCUUUAAACCUCUUUUGUUGACCACCAGCAUUACGCUUUCCAUUUUUAAGUUCGGAAUAGAGUAGUUGCUUUGGAAGACGAUCAUCAGGCAUCCACACAACAUGACCAGUAGAAAUAGGAACCUGCUAAUGUCCUAUAUAGUUUUUCCAAUACUUUUUUUCCUUUCAAAAGUUAGAAAGUUUGUAGUGAAGGCUCCUGGUAUAAAGUGAAUUUGGGUAAGUGGAUGUAAGGCUUUCCUGACUGAUGGUUGAGAAGAGAACAAAGACACAUCCUGCACUCCUAGUUCCUGCUCUUUCCACCCACAUGGACCCUGGUAUAAGAAACAUAUUUCUGAGAGUCUAUUGUUAGCGCAUUCUCUGCAAACUGGUGAUUUAACCCAGAGCUCUUAUCUUGUAAAAGAUUUUAAUUAGCUUUAUUGUGAGUCUAUCAUGAGGUGUCUCAAAGGUUCCUGUCAAAUAGGUACUGGUGUGGGGGGAGCUAUUAUAAAACCACCUUUAAUAAAAGUAAGCAAAGCUGCUGCUGCAGAAGAUGUUGACCUCUGUGUUUAGCAGAUAACCUCUAUUUCUCUUUCUGACUCUUGAGGUCUCUCAAAAUGUCAGCUUGAGCACUGAAAAAGGUUUGAAAUUUUGGACACUAAAGAAACAUUUCAUGUUCCAUACGCUAGCAGGUUUUUUGAGUGCUUGUGUAGUUUUGCAAGAAAUUGCACAAAGCAAAGGGACGUGUUAAUUUAUAGCCUUGCUUUUCUCCUGGUUUUCCUUUCAUGUCUUCUUUUUCUCAUCUUUUGUAUUUGCAGUGCAGGCGGAUCCAUUAGGGCAACUGAGGCAUCUCCUCAACAACCCCAGCCAGCUCUCAGCCAGCCAUGCCUGCCUCCCUUCCUACUUUGCAACUAGUCUAGAGGACAGCCAUGGCUGUCUCCUUCCUCCUCCUUAGUCUUAGUCUUGCCCUUGUGGGACUCAGUAGGGAGGAGGAGGAGGACAAAACUGGAAUUAGUGAACCCUGCCUGUUGUUGGCUCUGACCCCCUUCUGUCCUACUAGUCCCAGCACCAAGCACCAUUGUGUGCUUGAUUGCCUUUAAUGCAGACACUGGGUGUGAAAGGUGGGUGUGCAGCUAGGACCUAUAGUUGGCUGUGGAGCGGGAAGACUGGCUAAGGCAGGCACCAGCCAUUCCACAGCCUACAACAGGAAAGCUGUGCAGGAACAAACUUUGGUCUUUCAAAUUUCAGCAGCGCCCUGUGCAAGGCCAAAAUUUGGCAUGCAUCCACACCUGCCUCUCACCUUCCAUUCUGCUCAAUUCACUAUGUUAUAGUUGCUCUUUCCCUACUGCAGCAGCGACAUUUGGUCUGCAAGCUGGGUAACUAACCAGGAAGUCCCUUCUGCACACAACAACCAUGUCCUGCCAUGUUUAUUCUCUUGAGGGUUUUCAGUUCACCCCUUCCCACCCCAAAUGCCAAUCAUAGCUGUCCCUUCGCUCAUUGGCUAAAAGCUCCAAGAGGGCAGUUUCGCAGGGUUGUUUCUCCAGAAGGGUCUGGAAAUAACAGCAGCUCUUCCUUCUCACACGCUGACCAUCCUCAUCCCCAUUCCCAGCAGUGCUAUGUCAGUUGGAGACUUUUCCAGCUGAGAGCUUCUGGGUGUGGAGCAAAGCAUUCUUCUGACUCCUGCUCUUCCUUCUGGUUCUCCAAAAGAGGGAAGGUGCAAGAGGUCUCUCUCUGUCUCUCCCCUCAGGCCUGUGUGUGUCAGACCAGGAAGCCAAGAGCAAGUUCCUGGUGGUUGACUUCUGUUCCAGUGCCAGUGACACUGUGUGCAUGCCAGCCAGUCAAUGGUUUUGUGUAGAGCAUGCACCAUUCCCAGGAUCCUUGGGGUCUAAGUCAUAUGCAUUGAAUGUGCUUUAAAUGUAAGGCAUGUGAGCAUAGGUCAAGGGCUACAGGUUGCCCAGCCCUGCUGUACUGGAUAGACCUUUGUCCUAUCCAGCAGCAAGAUUGUGUUUAUGUACAUGGUGACCUUAGGCUCUCAACUGAAGCUACCAACAGGGUUCUUGAGGAUAAACACAGAGGAUUACAUACCCUGCCUUGAGCUCUUUGGGAAACAGCCAUAUAAUUUAUCACACUAAAAGAAUGUGCUGGUCCUGUGGGUUACUCGAGAGGCAAGGUCCAAGUCCAAUCCGUGGUCAAAGGUGCAACGUGGAGGCAGUCCGUAGUAGAUGAAGCUGGGUGCAGGGCAGGGAGUUGGGUGAAGUCAGGGACAGGCAUGCAAGAAGGGAGCCAAGGCAGGUCAGGAGCUCAGGCAAGAAAGCAGGACAGGGUUCAGACAGGUACUAGCAACCAACAAUGUUGCUCCCACAACUUGGGACUGGGGCUGUCCAGCUUUUAUCUGCCCUGAGGCAUAGGACAGCCCCGAUCCUCUGGUGACUCGCCUCUCCUGGCCUGGAGGCGAGCACUCCUCCUGCGGGAACUUAGUUCCCUCCGCCUCUCUGCUCUGAUCCUCUGCAGCUCAGGAGAGGCUGGAGGGUUACUGGAGCCAGAGGCAACCUCAACUUUCUCUGACGGGGCUGAGAGUGGAGCACCUGCAGGCAAUGGGUCCUCCAUCACGUCAGGAGCCAGAGCAGACUCAGCUGAUUCCUGCACCUGAGGAUCCAGCACGGGUAAGGACCCUUCAGCCCCGGCUCAGCUGGUUCCCAGGCCAUCACAAAGAAAAAAGAAAAGAAACCUCAAACAAAAUGAAAGGACAACUAUCACAGGAAAAGCACAAACUAUACCUGGGGGCAGCAGGGGCAAGAAGCUGUGUACCAAUCCUUGCUUCCAUUUCUUUGUUCAUUUAAGGGGCUCCAUUUUCAAUGUCAGUUCCGGAACACACGAAAUAACAGCAGAGAAGCGAGUAGUUCGGAACGUGUUGGUGGAGCCCCUUCUCUCACCAGUAGUUACUACCAGCAGCAGCCUGAUCAUGGAUUAGCAGGACAUCCUCUGUGACCAGAGGCAAGACUUCUCUCUAAGAGGCUUCAGCACCAAUUCCUCUCGAUUUAGAAAUGAUGCUUUGACAUCCAUGCUUUCAGACUCUUGUCUAAACAGGAAGGGAAUCUAUUGCACAAACAGUUACAAAAACUAGAAAACCGCAUUAUUCAUGCUGGAGAGCCGGUGUGGGGAUGAAAGUGAAGGGUGUCUGUUAGGCUUUGCUUUCCAUCGCAAAUUGGGAAUUGGAAAUGUAAUGCUUGCUAGACCGAAUCUUGUACCCUGGUGGAAAGGUUUGGCAGAUUACAUGGUUUUGCUAUUAGUUAGUUUCACUUCUUCAAAGGAAGAAUGGGAGGUAGAAAGAGAAUGUAACUAAAGAGACUCUGAAGAAGGCUGCAUACUUUCAGGGUCAUGCAUAUGCUCCCUGUACACAGUGCAGUGAGCAGCAAUAUGUAUUUUAUGUAGUAGAAAAUCAAGAGAGUUUAAGAGGUCUUAUUUCAGAAAACUUGGUCAUUGGGUUUGGUGCACAGCCCUAUUCCCUCUCUCUUAGAGCUCCAUGCUGGUGAUUUUUUUGCAUGCUGCAAUAUGUCCUUGAUGCAAAAGGGUGAAAAUGCAACAAAUUGGUAAGGAUGUUAGUUGGACAUUAUGUCUUCUGAUUUAAUAACCCUGAAACCAGUUGCACUUUGUUGACCCAUACCCAGCCUGCUUGUGGUAGCUGGUACCUCAGGCAUGGUUGUACAGUGAAAAUGUGAUCUCGUUCAGAGUGAUUGAACAAAUCAGCAAAAUCUGGACAGCCUGAAACCAAGGAGCUAAUAAGUAUGGGUAUCCAUAAUAUGCAGGAGUGCAUCCAGAAACCAUGAGAAUUUGAGGCUAUAAAAAAAACAAAAAGCAGCAUAAAUUGUGGAGGUGGCGCCAUAUCAUCAACCCAUUAUGUUCCAAACCAUCUUUAUUGAAACCUACACAACUUAGGAGACCAAUUCUAAAGAUAACCUCUAUUUAGGUCAAGGUGGUGUUGGAGUACAAAUUGCAUCAGUUCUGCCCAUUGGCCAUGCUGACUCAGGCUGACAGGAGUGGAAUCCAACAAUAUCUGGAAGCCAUAGGCUCCACACCCCUAAUGUAGGCCAUAAAUAUAGGCACAUGUCCAUCUGGUGCUUUGGGAGUCACAAACACCCCCAAGCUGAACCCCCUUCUUCACUGCGGGGGACAAAAGAAGCUUUGUCCUGGAUGUUCCUUUGUUAUAUACACUAACCUAAAUACAUGAAAACAUUUCUCUAUAACUAGGCCUUUGGCUGAUUGGACAAUCUAUGGAUUUUUAAAUAUGUAAGGGGGAU